GAGGAAACCUCAUCAUCUGCCACUUCUAUUGGAGCUGCAGACACUGCUUGGGACCCCCGAGAGCAACUGGAUCUCAUUCCUUCUUGGAUUCCUGGAGUGCUCCCCACCAUGAGUUUACUGCAGGCUUGUGCAGGUCCUGAGACCUCCUGUUCCAGCACUUUGCAGCCUCAGGAUCAUUGGAAUAAAUAAAAGCCAGCUGAGCAUGGAUUAUACUCAGUGGAUCACACCAACUGGGAGCUGGAGGAGUGCAGCCACAAACACAAGAGGAAAAUUCGCUCUCCUGAGAGGCACAGAUGGGUCCAUGGGUAGAUUUACCACGGUGCCCAAAAAUUUGGGGAGGUGAGUGACCACUUGACAAGGCCAGGGAUGAGCUGUUGCUGAAAUCUGCAGGGAAGGGGAGCAGCAGUGGCUCUGCUGGCCUGAAGAAGGAUGAGGGAUGUGCUGAAAACCUCCCAAACGUGGCUCCCAAGGUUUUUGGAAAGGAUGGCCACGUUCCCAUCACAUCCAUGGGGACAAAGGAGGGGUGCAGCAGAACAGGCAGCAGCCCUCAGGGGUUUAACUCCUCCCAAAUUACUUCUUCCUCCUGAAAAACAGAGCCAGGAAGGAGAAAUUCAUGGCUGUCAGGAGUAUGUUGUGUGACCAGCACAGGAGAAGUGGUUUUGGGGUGUGGCAGAGCUGUGACAGCCUCAGGAGCCACAACCUGAGCUGGGCUUUUGUUCCUUGUGAUAAUACAGCACUUAUCUUCUCUGGGAUGUUGUAAAGCCAGAGCUGAUCUGGAUUGAACAUGUCAUUUGUAUUCCCACGCUGGUUUUGAAGCAAAUCUGUCAAAUCAAACCCC